GCAAUAUGGAUGAUGCCUAGAAAUGGCACGUAUGGUGGAUGGCCAAGAUCUGGGGAAAUGGAUAUGAUGGAAGCAUCUUGUAAUGAAGUAAUGUAUUUUGACGAUGGCACUAAGGUUGGAAUACAAAGAGUAACAUCAACAAUUCAUUUUGGACCAGACGCUAUAGAAGACCAUCCACUUCAUGGUGAUAAAAUCAAAUCCCAGGGUGAUUGGCACAGUUUCCACAUUUACACGCUUGAUUGGUCACCUGACCAUGUCAUUCUGAGUGUUGAUGGAGAAGUUGUUAGUAGAAUGGACAUUCCAGAUGGAACAUCAGUUUGGGAAAAAUACAACUUUAACGGCACCAACCCGUGGACUAGAGGCGCUAAGAUAGCUCCUUUCGAUCAGGAGUUUUACAUGAUCUUGAAUGUUGCUGUAGGAGGAAUAAGAGGCAUGUUUGGUGAAGGUUAUGUCCACUAUGCUUACCCAAAACCAUGGAGCCAAUACGACAUCGAUCCAUUAAAACCUUUUUGGGAACAUCGUAAAGAAUGGAUGCCAUCUUGGCGUGGAGACGACGUAGCUAUGAUUAUAGAUUAUGUUGAAUUUAGACUUAUGUAAUUUAUAUAUGUAUCAAGCUGUU